AAUCUGCCUUCAGGAUGGGGACAACAGCGAGAAAUCGGUGCUAAAACCCAAUGUGCCGAAAGGUGAAAUACUUGUAGCCUGAAGAGGAGCUCGCGUCCGAUUAGUUAGUUGGUGGGGUAAGAGCCUACCAAGGCAGCGAUCGGUAGCUGGUCUGAGAGGAUGAGCAGCCACACUGGGACUGAGACACGGCCCAGACUCCUACGGGAGGCAGCAGUGGGGAAUUUUCCGCAAUGGGCGAAAGCCUGACGGAGCAAUACCGCGUGAGGGAGGAAGGUUUUUGGAUUGUAAACCUCUUUUUUAAAGGAAGAAGCAAGUGACGGUACUUUAAGAAUCAGCAUCGGCUAACUCCGUGCCAGCAGCCGCGGUAAUACGGAGGAUGCAAGCGUUAUCCGGAAUCAUUGGGCGUAAAGCGUCCGCAGGUGGCUGUUCAAGUCUGCUGUUAAAGACAGAAGCUCAACUUCUGAAAAGCAGUGGAAACUGGACGGCUAGAGUACGGUAGGGGUUGAGGGAAUUCCCAGUGUAGCGGUGAAAUGCGUAGAUAUUGGGAAGAACACCAGUGGCGAAGGCGCUCAACUGGGCCGUAACUGACACUCAGGGACGAAAGCUAGGGUAGCG
rnacentral:rRNA from 1 species